CUAUAUACACAGUUAGGAAAUUAAUAGAAUUUUCUUUUCUCUUUUUCUGGUUUUGAUAGAAUAUGAAAAUGCAAUAGAAUAACAAUCCAGAACCCACAUUCAUGAUCAACCAGAAUCUACCAACCUCACUCGAAAUCAUUGCCAAAAGCAUGAACAACCUACCUAACCAGACAAUUCUAUUAGCUUCUAAAACAAUUAAAUAUUUACUACCUUCAUGAACCAAGUUGAAAGUAAAAAGUGAAUAAGCACCUGAUCAUGUGUCACUCCAGAUUGGCAAGUGUUAAAUCUUCAAAGAAGUCCAUGAAGCUUCCAGUAAAAGUGUAAGGAAAGCCUGUAUCUAUAUAGUGCACCUCCAUUUGCCUGUCUGCAUUCAUUUCAAUACCAGUUUGGAUUCUGAAUUCAACAAGAAGCUGUAACUAAAUAAGAGACUAACAUGACCAUAUACCAUAAAUAGCCCAAAAAAAAAAAGAACCUAUUGAAAAUCCUUCAUUAUCCUUUCUUUUAUCAGUUGGAUAAAAGAACAAAAGAAAAAGAGAAAGAGACUAAAUGAAAUUAAAUAGUGAUUUAUCUCUUUACUUGUCUUACUGAGUUAAGCCCUUGAGUUCAUUCAGUGUAAAAGCAAAGCUAAUUUAACCAUUCCUGCAAAAACAACAGAAGUGAAAAACAUCACCAUAACUGAUUAAAAUUAAAAGUCUCAAACUUUAUCAAUUAAAAGUCUCAAACUUGGGGCAGAAAUAGGUCAUACCCAGAUCAAAUUUUCUUUUGCAAAAUUAUGAAAAACAAAUAUCUCACCAAUAAUUUUAUUUUUCUUUUCCCAUAUCCUCGUUGUUAUUGACAUCCAAAUGGAAACACAGGAAGAAAAUUCCAUUAGGAUUUCGUUUCAUUUGCACCUCAUUUACCAAAAUCUUCUCAUACUCCAGGGAAAAAACUCCAAAAAACUGAAAUUCAUGGGGAGAAAAAGAAAAAGAAACUACAAGAAUCAGAAUCAUGUUUUGCAAAACGGGAAGGAAGGGAAAGCAAGUACACAGCUUUAUGUAAAUAAACUGCAAUUACUAUCAGGAAGUAAACAUAUUAUAGUUGUUAAUGGUGAAAAUAGAAACCUACCACACCAAGAAGAAAAUAAUGGGUUGGUGCUAUAUACACACAGUCUGUUUGUGUAUCUAAACAUCUGAUUUUUUAUAUGCAAAAGGAGAGAAACCCAGAAAAAAACAUUAAAGUGAGAAAAUGUAGAGCAGUUUAAAGAUAAAUCACAUUGUCAUGUAAUUCAUUUCUUGGCUUUGGUAAUGAAAAUAAUGAUCUGAGCUUAGAGAACAAAAACCAAAAAAACAAAAGGAGAUAAAGGGAAAAAAAUUGAGAGAAAAAAGAGAACAAAUAAAGAAUGAGAAGAAACCAAGUAAUUAUAGAGCCAAAUUGAGCUCAAAAGAGCUCGAGAGAGAGAGAGAGAGAGAGAGAGAGAGAGAGAAGCUCUCUGUCUCUUUUUUCUGGUGCUCAACUCUUCCCCCAUGUCUGUUUUCUCUUCUCUUUGAAACUCUUGUCUCUUUUUUCUGCUGCCCAACUCCUCCCCCAUGUCUGUUUUCUCUCCUCUUUGAAACUCUUUCUGGGUCUCUCUCUCUCUCAUGGUGGCUGGCGCUCUUAUGCUUGUUGGGUUUCUCUACUGACACGUCCAUCCCGCGAAGAGGAGUUGUUUUACACGACGUCGUUUCGUAGGGAUCAAAAAUACAAAAUAUAUUAUAU
rnacentral:lncRNA from 1 species